ACCUGCCCAUUGGAAUCUAAAAGGCCGCGGUAUUAUGACCGUGCUAAGGUAGCAUAAUCAUUAGUCUUUUAAUUGGAGGCUGGUAUGAAUGGUUGGACAAGAAAUAAGCUGUCUUAAAUAAAAAUAUUGAAUUUAACUUUUAAGUGAAAAGGCUUAAAUUUUCUAAGGGGACGAUAAGACCCUAUAAAACUUUAUAUUUUAAAAUAAUAAUUAAUUUUUAUAUAGAAGAUUUAUUUUUAAAUAUUUUAUUGGGGUGAUAAAGAUAAAAUGUGAGAUAACUGUCUUUUUUUUUUUUACAAUUAAUAUUUGAGUAAAAGAUCUUAACAAAGGAAAUAAGAGAUUAAGUUACUUUAGGGAUAACAGCGUAAUUUUCUUUAAGAGUUCUUAUCGACAAGAAAGUUUGCGACCUCGAUGUUGAAUUAAAAGUUCUUUAUAGAGUAGAUAUUAUAAUAGAGGGUCUGUUCGACCCUUAAAAUUUUACGUG
rnacentral:rRNA from 1 species